rnacentral:rRNA from 1 species
UACGUAGGGUGCAAGCGUUGUUCGGAAUCACUGGGCGUAAAGGGCGUGUAGGCGGUCCGCUAAGUCUGAUGUGAAAGCCCGGGGCUCACCCCCGGAAGGGCAUUGGAAACUGGCGGACUCGAGUCCCGGAGAGGAAGGUGGAAUUCCUGGUGUAGCGGUGAAAUGCGUAGAUAUCAGGAGGAAUACCGGUGGCGAAGGCGGCCUUCUGGACGGUGACUGACGCUGAGACGCGAAAGCGUGGGGAGCAAACAGG